GACAGAGGGUGCAAACGUUGUUCGGAAUUACUGGGCGUAAAGCGCGCGCAGGCGGUCUUCCAAGUCAGUGGUGAAAGCCCGGAGCUCAACUCCGGAACUGCCAUUGAAACUGUAAGACUUGAGGACGAGAGAGGUGAGUGGAAUUCCCAGUGUAGAGGUGAAAUUCGCAGAUAUCAGGAAGAACACCCGUGGCGAAGACGGCUCUCUGGGACGGUACUGACGCUGAGACGCGAAAGCGUGGGGAGCGAACAGG
rnacentral:rRNA from 1 species